rnacentral:lncRNA from 1 species
AUAUUUACAUUUCUAUUUAUCUUAUUAUAUUCAUUAUCUAUGGUAUAAAUACCACUAUGUUCAUUACUCAUUUUAUAAAUACCCAAACACCCAUGGGUAAACCCAUUACCUCAUUACCUGAGACCCAUUUCUUCAUCCUCCCCGUCCCCUUCUCUUUCAAACCCAUUUUUUUUCUUUGCAACUAGGUGAAUGGGAAUAAAACCAUCCUUCCCAUCCUCUUCUUCUCUUUCAAACCCAUUUUUUUUCUUUCUUUGCAACUGGGUGAGUGGGAAUAAAACAAUCCUCCUCGUCCUCUUCUUCUCUUUCAAACACUUUUUUUUUUCUUUCUUUGCAAUUGGGUGAAUGGGAAUAAAACCAUCUGCCAUUGAUUCUCCUCAAGGCGCAAGUUCCAGACUGCUUCUCAUUUCGAAUCAAUCCAGACCAUCUUCGAAUCAAACUCGAAUAUUAGUUUUGUCGCAAUUGAGUCGUAUCGGUCUUGGCUGAUACUUUGAACCUUGCUUCAUAUUAAGCUAGGAUUUAGGCUGAAAAAUUAUAGUUAAAGCUUGAUGUUGAGAGAGAGAGAAAGGAGAAAAAACCUUAUUUCUCAUUCAUGUAAUAUCUACUUACAAUUGAGAGAUAUAUAUAUACAAGGCUAGGAGUCCUAACUACCAUACAUGUGACCUAUAUUAACAAGGAAAGAUAAUAUACUAUAAAUACAUUAUAUUUAACACUCUCCCUCAAGCUGGAGCAUAUACGUCAUAUGCACCAAGCUUGUUACAAAUAUAUUUAAUCCUAGGACCUCUGAGAGAUUUAGUGAAGAUGUCUGCUAGUUGAUCAUUUGAAUUGACAAAACUUGUAGCAACACAUCCUGAUGCGAUCUUCUCUCUAAUGAAAUGACAGUCAACUUCAAUAUGCUUGGUCCUUUCAUGAAAGACUAGAUUGGAUGCAAUAUGUAAUGCGGCCUGGUUAUCACAGAUGAGUUUCAUCUGUUCAUCCUUUCCAAAUCUCAACUCCUGAAGAAGAUGUCUCAACCAUAUGAGUUCACAUGUUGCCAAAGCCAUAGCUCGAUACUCGGCUUCAGCGCUAGAUCUGGCCACUACAUCUUGUUUCUUACUCUUCCAAGAUAUUAGAUUACCUCCAAUAAAAACACAGUACCCUGAAGUGGAACGUCUAUCUGUGGGUGAGCCAGCCCAAUUUGCAUCUGUGUAACCAACAACUUGAGUAUGACCUCUGUUCUCGUACAAUACACCUUGGCCUGGUGUACUUUUGAUAUAUCGAAGAAUACGAAUCACGACAUCCUAAUGGCUAUCACAUGGUGACUGUAGGAAUUGACUAACAACACUCACAGGAAAAGAAAUGUCUGGACGAGUAAUGGUGAGAUAGUUUAAUUUACCUACGAGCCGUCGAUAUCUCCCGGGGUCUCCUAAAGGCUCCCCCUGUCCUGGUACAAGUUUGACAUUCGGGUCCAUAGGUGUGUCUACCGGUUUACAGUCUAACAUACCGGUUUCUUCCAGGAUAUCUAAAGCAUACUUCCUUUGGGAAAGGACCACACCAGAACUGGAUUGAGCUAUCUCAAUUCCCAAGAAAUACUUGAGUUUCCCCAAGUCUUUGGUCUGAAAGUGGGUAAAAAGAUGUUGCUUUAGUUUCUGAAUACCAUCCUGACUACUGCCUGUAAUGACGAUGUCGUCCACAUAAACAACCAGAUAAAUACACUGCCCCAAGGAGUUAUGAUGAUAAAAAACUGAAUGGUCUGCUGUACUGCGAAGCAUGCCAAACUCUUGAACAACAGAACUAAAACGGCUAAACCAUGCUCGAGGAGAUUGUUUCAAGCCAUAUAGAGAACGGCGUAACCUGCACACUAAACCAGACUCCCCCUGAGCAACAAAACCAGGAGGUUGCUCCAUAUAAACUUCCUCGGCAGGAUCACCAUGGAGGAAGGCAUUUUUAAUAUCCAACUGAUAAAGAGGCCAAGAACACAUAGCAGCCAUGGAGAGAAGCAAGCGGACAGAAGCAAUCUUGGCAACAGGGGAGAAUGUGUCACCAUAAUCAGAACCAUAAACUUGAGUAUAGCCUUUAGCAACUAAGCGGGCCUUAAGGCGAUCAACCUGACCAUCAGGACCAACCUUAACUGCAUAGACCCAACGACAACCAACUGUAGAUUUACCAGAGGGUAAAACAACAAGAUCCCAAGUGCCAUUAGAGUGCAGAGCAGUCAUUUCAUCCACCAUUGCCUGUCGCCAGCCUGGAUGGGAAAGAGCUUCAUGGGUGCUCUUUGGAAGAGAAACAGAGGAUAUAGCAGAAACAAAAGCAGAAUAGGGUGAAGAUAAUCGAUGAUAACUCAAAAAAUUGUAAAUAGGAUGAGGAUUACGAGUAGAGCGAGUACCUUUCCGAACAGCAAUGGGUAAGUCAUUAGGAGAAGGCAGAGCCGGGGCAGGUGAAGCCGAAGGGAUAGGAAGUGAGUCAGCAGGUGCCUCAGGAAAAGGGAGAGGAGCAACGACACGAGGGCGACGAUGAUAAACCUGAAGUGGUCGAGGGGGCAUAGCAUCAGGUGGGGAGACAAUGGGAAUGGGCAAGACUUCAGAAACAGGAAGAGACUCAGAAGUGGUGGAAAAGAACGGUGAAUCCUCAAAGAAGGUGACAUCAGCGGAGAUAAAGUAUCGAUGAGUCUCAAGGGAAUAACAACGAUAACCCUUUUGAAGCCUGGAAUAGCCCAAGAAGAGGCACUUCAUGGCUUUGGCGGAAAGCUUGUCCUGUCCAGGAGUGAGAAUAUGAACAAAGCAAGUACAACCAAAGACACGAGGAGGAAGGAAAUAAAGUGGUUGGUCAGGGAAAAGAAGGGAGUGAGGAAUCUGAUCGUGUAAGACAGAGGAGGGCAUACGAUUAAUCAAAUAACAAGCGGUAAGAACAACGUCCCCCCAAAAGCGAAAAGGAACGUGACUAUGGAGGAGGAGAGUACGAGCUGUCUCAACAAGAUGUCGAUUCUUGCGUUCAGCUACCCCAUUUUGUUGAGGAGUAUGAGCACAAGAAGACUGAUGAAGAAUCCCAUGAUGAGACAUAAACGAAGUAAAUUGGGCUGAAAAAUAUUUCCUGGCAUUGUCACUGCGUAACACACGAAUAGAAAUAUUGAACUGGGUUUGGAUUUCAGUAUAAAAUUUCUGAAAAAUAGAGAAUAACUCAGCUCGAUUUUUCAUUAAAAAUAACCAAGUACAUCGAGAAUAGUCAUCAAUGAAAGUGACAAAAUACUGAAAUCCUAAAGUAGACGCAGUCCGACAAGGACCCCAAACAUCAGUGUGGACAAGCUCAAAAGGAGACUUUGCCCGAUUAUUCAAACGCUUUGGGAACGAGACACGAGUAUGUUUCCCAAGCUGACAUGACUCACACGGAAGCGACGACAAGGUGGAAAAACGAGGAACCAUCUUCUGGAACUUGAAGAGACUAGGGUGGCCCAGACGAUUGUGAAUGAGGAGAGGAGCAUCAGNGNAAAUGCAAACUGCAGGAGAUGAAUCUGAGGUGAGGUGAUAGAGGCCUUGAGACUCACGUCCUAUGCCAAUCGUCUUCCCCGUACUCCGGUCCUGCAAGGUCACAAAUUUAUCAGAAAAGGUAAUAGAGCAAUUAAGAGUACGAGUGAUUUUGUUGAUGGAAAUAAGAUUAAAAGGACAUUCAGGAGUAUAAAGGACAGAAGUGAGAGGUAGAUAAGGCAGAGGAAGGGCCAAACCAAUACCUUUAGCCACAGUUUGAGAACCAUUAGCUAAGUAGAUAUUACAUGAAUGAGAAAUAAGGUUUUUUCUCCUUUCUCUCUCUCUCAACAUAAUCAGAAGUAGUAGUAAUAGAGGAGAAAAGAUCCUUAUUACCAGAUAGGUGAUCAGAUGCUCCAGAAUCUAGAAUCCAGGGUCCAAGAGAAGAUGUGUGGGUAAGGCAGGCAGAGGCAUUACCAGGCUGGGCAACAGAGGCAAUAGAAGCCUGAGAUGUCUGAGAUGCGGAGGAGCUCGGAGUCUGAGGCAGCGGAGAAUCAGAGGACUGGGCCAUAUGGGCAGUGCGAGGAGGUCUUCCAUGUAACUGAUAGUAACGAUCGCGAGUGUGGCCAAGUUUAUUGCAAUAGGUGCAAUGAGGACGUUGGCCUCUACCUCGGGUACCACUGCGUCCUCCUCGAGAGGUAGUUUGAGAAACUAACACAGAAGAAUCUGAAGCGCUAUCAGAUGGCAAAGUCUGAGUGGACGAGAUACGGAGGAGGCGAGCAAACACAUCAUCCAAGGACGGAACUGAUGAACUACCAAGAAUCUGAUCACGAAUAGGCUCAAGAUCCGGACGGAGGCCAAUAAGAGUAAGGACCAUGAAGAACUUGUCAAGCUGUGUUUGUUGAGCCCCAACAUCAGGAGUAAGAGGCAUCACAGUCAAGAACUGCUCCUUAAGAGAGGCAAUCUGACCAAUAUAAGUAGAUAGAUCCAAGUCCUGUUGGCUGAGAUGGACAAUAGCAGAAGCCACCUUAUAAAGACGCUGGAUAUCAUUCGUGUAUAAUCCUUUGGCCUGAGUCCAAAAUUUAAAACAAGUUUUAUAGGCCUGAAGAUGAAGAAGAAUCCGGGGAUCAACCGAUUGCCAUAAUACACUACAUAACUGUGCAUCGAUCUUCCUCCACUGUACGCGGUCAACCUCAGGGAUAUCUGCCUCCUGGGUAACCAAGUGAUCCUCAUAUCCUUGACCCAUAAACCAAAGUUCAACAGAGGCAGACCAGGAGAGAUAAUUCUCACUGCCAACCAAUUUCUCUGAGGUAAUCAGAGGAGAUCCAGAGAGAACAGAGGUAAAGAUCUGAUUUUUGGUGGUCAUAUUCACGUAUUUGGAUCGAAGAGAGCCCUAAUACGGCUUCAGAUUGCGGCGUGGCACCACCGAAAAAGGGAGACGGCCUCAGAUCGCGACGUGGUACCACCAGAAAGGUAGAAGAACACUUCCCAAGGCACGUGCAGGGAUUGGGGUGGAGAGAAAGUAGCCGGAACUUCGCCGGAAGGCUGUUUGGAGGGCUGACGGAGACAAAAAUCCCCAAAAGAGGUAUGUGCAGGGCUCGGAUGGGAGAACUAGGUAGGUAGGGAUGCUGGUCGGCGGCAGGCGAGGCUGGAGGAGGAGGCGCGUCGCCGGAAAAGGCCUCACGCGCCCUCACGCGCCGGCGCGUGAGAUUCAGUCGCUGGCCGUAGAAGUGCGCAUGGCCGGCGCGUGGAGGGUUUUCUGGCUCCGAUGCUUUUGAGAAAGUUGGAGAUCUCCUCCAGGCGCUCCUCUUGGUGUGGUCGGUGUCGGAAAAAGACGUCGCCGGAAAGUUCGCCGGAAAAUUUCGCCGGCGGUGAGUGGUUUCUGACGACGAUCCGAAAGUAUUGGGAGAUGGGGAAGGUGACCGGAAUGAAACACGGUCACCGGAAGGUUUCCCGGAGUUGAUGACACGGGAAAUAGGAAAGAAUUAGGUUUUCUUCCUUGGCUCUGAUACCAUGUUGAGAGAGAGAGAAAGGAGAAAAAACCUUAUUUCUCAUUCAUGUAAUAUCUACUUACAAUUGAGAGAUAUAUAUAUACAAGGCUAGGAGUCCUAACUACCAUACAUGUGACCUAUAUUAACAAGGAAAGAUAAUAUACUAUAAAUACAUUAUAUUUAACACUUGACAUGAACUCGGGUUCCAGCUUAGGGAUGGCAACGAACCUGUGUGAGAUGGGGCAUCCACACGUGACUCCAUCCUGAUGGAUGAAAAGCCUCAUCCCAAGCUUAUCUUGAUCCUGAGAAGGAGCAAGGUUGUAGUAUAUUUCAUUGUGGGUCAUGGAUCCCAUUCACUUGAAUAUGAUAUAUUGGAGUAUAGUAAGAAUCAUUCUCGUUCACCAAAGCAAAUCUAACACUAUAAUCAAACAAGGAACCUAUGUAAACUAUGAAAUUGACUCUCAAGUGCUUUAAGGUAAUGAAUGAAAUAUGUUAGAGGCUUAGAUUGUUUUGUUUUAUGUGCCCAUGGCCACUAUCACUAGUGCAUUAAAAUUAGGGUAUUUUUGGUACUAAAGCAUAAUGGUGUCAGGGCAGGGCUGGAUGGUCUGUCUUAUCCCUGCUUCAAACUUGGGUUGUGGUUUGUCUCAUCUCUAGCAAUAGUCCUCAUUGAGUACUCUCCACACCUGUUCUGAUUGGGUGGUGCAGGUUACAUGGUUAACUUAUCCAAUUGUCACCCUUAGUCAAGGUCAAAAUUUCACCAAGCUCGGCACCAAUAAUAAAUAUCGUUUAGCUUGAAAAAUUCAGGCCAAAGGGUGGAUAUCCAAUUAGCUUGGCCUAGUUUUCAGCCAGGAAAAAACUAGUUGGUGGAAUGGAAUUUGUGUGGCUGGCCUCAGUUAACUUGGAUGAGGCUUGGUUGACUAUAUGCCCUACUUGAAAGAAAAAAAAAUUAAAGCUACAAUAUUUUGCUGCCUGGUGUUCUAGCUUCUAGUUCCAGGGACUUGAAUUAAGAAGCAUUAGCUAGCUUCAACCAUUGGUGCUGGUUUUUGGGUUGGGAUAUUGGUUGCUUAGAGUUGCGAUAGCAGGUUUGUGUUUCAGGAUUAGGAUUUUAUGAAAAUAAUGGAUCAAAGACAAAAGGUGGAAAAGAAUAAAUUGGGAAGAGUUGGGAAACUGCAUCAUUCUCUAUAGUAGCUUAUAUUUGGGGUUUGUCAAGGGUAAUCCUAGUAUCCUAAUAUAUAG